CCUACGGGGGGCAGCAGUGGGGAAUUUUUGACAAUGGGGGAAACCCUGAUCAAGCAACGCCGCGUGGAUGAUGAAGUAUCUCGGUACGUAAAAUCCUUUCGACAGGGAAGAAGCCUUCGGGUUGACGGUACCUGUAGAAGAAGCCCCGGCUAACUCCGUGCCAGCAGCCGCGGUAAUACGGGGGGGGCAAGCGUUGUUCGGAUUUACUGGGCGUAAAGGGCGCGUAGGCGGUUCGUUAAGUCGGAUGUGAAAACUCUGGGCUCAACCCAGAGCCUGCAUCCGAUACUGGCGGACUAGAGUGCGAGAGGGGAAAGCGGAAUUCCUGGUGUAGCGGUGAAAUGCGUAGAUAUCAGGAGGAACACCGGCGGCGAAGGCGGCUUUCUGGAUCGCAACUGACGCUGAGGCGCGAAAGCUAGGGGAGCAAACAGGAUUAGAUACC
rnacentral:rRNA from 1 species